UCAAUUAUUUCAUUCUUCUCAAGAGGGUGAUCAGGCAAAGCAUUCAGUAGCUGGAUGAGCCUCCCCCAAGCUUGUGGGAGACUCUCUUCCUCAGCUUGAGCAAAGUUGUAUAUUUCCCGCAAGGCAGCUUGCUUCUUAUGGGCAGGGCAAUAUUUUUCACAUAAGUAGUAGACCAUAUCCUGGGGGCUACGCACACAACCAGGAGCAAGAGAAGUGAACCGGGUCUUAGCAUCAUCCUUUAGCG
rnacentral:lncRNA from 1 species